ACAUUUCUUCUGAAAAGAUGUCGUCAAAUGUGUAGAUGGUAACUGUGGUUAAAAGAAGUUGAAUUGGCAUCAAACAGGCAGAGAUGCGAAGUCAGAGGUCACAACGCUGAUUGUCAUUAGACGUGACGAGGCAAAUUGUAGGCAUGAAUUACGGUCAAAUGAAGUUGAUGGUCAUUUCCAUAAAAAAGUGGAUUCUAAGUGUUGUAAAAGACAUUGACAUUCAUUGUUUUCAAAAUGCGGCCAUUGUGGUAGAAGACGUUGAUUGUCACAAAAAUACGUCAGCAAGAAGAUGCCGAAGCAAAUGGUUGUAAAAGAUGCUUAGAGCUGCAUAGCUUUGCUAAAAGACAUCAGUCCUUAUUAUCAUACAUGUUUUGGACAAGAAAAUCAUACAUUUGUGGUUUAAUUGUUCUGUUCAAAAUGUUCAAAAGUAGAAUUUGCACAGCGGAUCAUUUUAAAAGCUCCUGUGGGUCAUUCCAUGACCCACUUACCUCACGUUGCACACCACUUAAACUGUAAAGGCUAACUGUAAACUUGCGCUGGUCUUUUUUUUGUGCUAUCUCCAUUUGAUCGUUUCCAGACCUUUUUUUUUUUUUUUUUGUCAUUUCUUUUCCUUUUUUUUGUCGUUUGAAGUGAGCGUCUAGUCAGUGUCGUGACAGCAGUAUGUGGUCCGACCUGUCUGAGCAGGGCCCGCAUCUCCAUAAGCCUCGAGGGAGGCACCGCCGUCAAAGGCCCACCGCCAUGAGAAAGUCAAGUACGGGGGGGGAAUGUGUGUGUGUGUGUGUGUGUGUGUGGAGGGGGGGGGGGGGGCAUCAUACAGGUUUACCUGUUAUGUGCUUGCUUUUGCUUGGCCGCACGGUUCUUCUAUUUGCGUCUCAGAGUGAUCUUUUUGACACGGGAUUUUCAGCGUGCCUGCCUGGCUUUUUUGAAUCUAGUCCCGUACAUUUGUUUCGUGCAGUUUGUUUGUCUUUGACGUUGAAGUCAAACACGAGCUAUUGCGUGACUACCUCAGAAAGGGCUCAGCGCCACAUUGCAGUAGCCUAAUGUUGCUUUGAUGAAGAUGUUCCUUCACGGCGGGAAAGUCUUUCGUGUCCUGCCAGCCAUAACCGCAGAAUGAGUAACCCAUAUGAAAGCACUCACGGGAUUCUUUAGCCGUUCUAUCAGCGGCCGUAAGACGACGGCGCCGGUUACACAGUAACCUGACGGUCACGCCUAAUGAUCCCCUGCAGAUCAAUAUUCAGAUACGGCGUAACUAUGUUUGGAGGGGAAACAUUUCUUUUGUCAUUGUGCCGCUCUUUCUUCUUCCUCGACAACAUGCGAGGAGUAUUUGCGUGUACGCAAAGCAGCGAUGCAGAAAUCCGUCACACUCUGGCAUCCUUGAAAAGGAUUGUGGCCAUUGUUCUUGCUUAGUCUUUGGGUGAUAAAAGAUUGAGAGCAUCAAGUGUGCGAGGGGAAAAAAAUCCAAGCAAUUCAGUUGAUCUCGAUUUGUCGCUCAACAGUUUCAGGGUGAAUCGUAGAAUAUUUCUAGUCGCCGAUUAGCAUCUUUAGCUAACUGAGGAUAAUGGCUCUCAAGUUUAGCGCAGUGUGGUUAUGCUAACAUUCUUUUAUGUUUGAGUACUUUGCUAGGUUCAGGGCUGAAGCUAAUGGCUAAGCGUCGAGCAUCUCAUAUUAUUAGCAUGUUCGCCUAACGCAUCUUGGAAGGUGGCUCAAGAGCUCAUCCAAUAUUACCAAAUCACACAAUUCUGUGCUAGGGUACGAAUCAUUUAAAAUCCAAUUCAAAUAUAUUCGUCCAAAGCUCACAAAUGAUCUUUUUUUUGAUGGAUGCUUUUCCCACUUUCAUUUUGGAUUUGAACGCCAAUACUACAAGAAAGUGAAACUCACUUGUUUUUCCCAGCACGACUUAUCGCUUGCUCCAUCAGGAGGUCUUAAAAAUAAUAGCCAAGUCAAUGUUUUCCAUGUUAGCAAAGCAGUUUCCUGGUAGCUUGAGUCAUGUUCAUUUUGGAGUUCAAUCGGAAUGCGAGGAAGCGAUGGAGAAUAAUAGUAAUUCAAAACAAGCCUUGUUAUCGCUCACUGCGUCAUAAAAUAUCAGCGCAGUCUCAAAGGUUUUGAUGCUGACAUAAAGUUGGGAUCAGGCAUUGAACAAGACCAGACAGGACAUGGUUUUAAUGAAAGAAAUAGAAGGUGUUUUCCUCUGUUUGAAUAGCUCUUAAUCCAUAGUCGCUGGCGUAAGAAGCAAAACAUGAAUCCUGUAACGCACAUGCUAGACAAACAACAAAUGAAAAAUCCUCUCCACACGGGUGUGUCGGGAGGCAUGCAAGCCAUGUAGUGAAACGUAAACUCUGUCAAGUCAAAAUAGACACAAA